GAAUACAAUUAUAUACCAAUAAUUAUCAAUUUGUUUCAUCGAUUUUAAGUGAGAGUUUGUUUUGACCUAACAGUUGGUGAUACAUUGGUAACUAAAGUAUAUUUGUGAUAACACAACCGGAGAAAUGGAUCCAACAUUGAUCAACAUUAGCUUUCAUCACAACAUCACUAUUUAUCAGUCAAUUGACUAGUUUUUGACCAGAAACAAAGGUGUAAUUUAGAACCAAUUUGGUAGCCAUUUUACUUCUCGUUGUCACAUAACAAAUUAUUCAAUUGAUACGUUUCAUUGCACCAUUUGAUAAAGAUAAUCAAUCAAUGAAUAAAUAAUUUCUUGGAAUUUUAAUGAAAGUAUAAAAUACAAAGGUCUUUUAAUAUUUCCUUGUAAAGCUUUCAAAUUCAUCAUUCGAAGUAUUUUUUAAUUGGAUUUAAAUUAAACUGUAAUUUGUUAAUAAAAUAAAUAAAUGUGAAGAGGAUGUUUUUAA